rnacentral:rRNA from 1 species
AUUGAACGCUGGCGGCAUGCCUAACACAUGCAAGUCGAACGGCAGCACAGUAAAGAUUUCGGUCUUUAUGGGUGGCGAGUGGCGGACGGGUGAGUAAUGCGUAGGAAUCUGUCCUGGAGAGUAGGAUAACCCGAGGAAACUCGGGCUAAUACUGCAUGAUAUCGAGAGAUCAAAGGCAGGGGACCCUUCGGGGCCUUGCGCUCUAGGAUGAGCCUACGUCGGAUUAGCUAGUUGGUGGGGUAAAGGCCUACCAAGGCGACGAUCCGUAGCUGGUCUGAGAGGAUGACCAGCCACACUGGAACUGAGACACGGCCCAGACUCCUACGGGAGGCAGCAGUGGGGAAUCUUGGACAAUGGGGGAGACCCUGAUCCAGCGAUGCCGCGUGUGUGAAGAAGGCCUUCGGGUUGUAAAGCACUUUAGUUGGGGAAGAAAAGUAAUGAGUGAAUAACUGAUUGCUCUGACGGUACCCAAAGAAUAAGCACCGGCUAACUCUGUGCCAGCCGCCGCAGUAA